GAUGAACGCUGGCGGCGUGCCUAAUACAUGCAAGUCGAGCGAACGGACGAGAAGCUUGCUUCUCUGAUGUUAGCGGCGGACGGGUGAGUAACACGUGGAUAACCUACCUAUAAGACUGGGAUAACUUCGGGAAACCGGAGCUAAUACCGGAUAAUAUUUUGAACCGCAUGGUUCAAAAGUGAAAGACGGUCUUGCUGUCACUUAUAGAUGGAUCCGCUCUGCAUUAGCUAGUUGGUAAGGUAACGGCUUACCAAGGCAACGAUGCAUAGCCGACCUGAGAGGGUGAUCGGCCACACUGGAACCGAGACACGGUCCAGACUCCUACGGGAGGCAGCAGUAGGGAAUCUUCCGCAAUGGGCGAAAGCCUGACGGAGCAACGCCGCGUGAGUGAUGAAGGUCUUCGGAUCGUAAAACUCUGUUAUUAGGGAAGAACAUAUGUGUAAGUAACUGUGCACAUCUUGACGGUACCUAAUCAGAAAGCCACGGCUAACUACGUG
rnacentral:rRNA from 1 species